UGGACUCCAGAUGUUAGUAUUUUUCCACAGAUUGGGCUGGGAACCAAGUUUUAAAACAAAGGGUUCCCACCAUAUGCUAAAGCUAUAUAAGGCAAUGGAGUGACCUCAUCUGUUGUUCUUCACUCCCCACAUGAAAAGACUCCUGGAAACAUCUGAGGAACAAAGACUGAACUGGAGGAAGUGCUGGACCCAGGCUAAAGGGAUUUCUAGCCUGUGUAUGAAGACCUGAGAAACCCAAGAUGUAAAGCUAAUGCAGCUUGUGCCUUAAGAAUCUACAAAUCUGUACCAUUAAUUAGGAAAACUCCACUUGGAAACAGAGAAAAGCCCCAAAGACUGAAGAAAAGUUAAGUAUAAAAAUAUUUAAAAUAAUCACUCUCAUUUCCCUCAUGUUCUUAAAAUUGAGAAAUACUUUUUUUGUCUCCAGGGGCUGCUGGAAUGGAGAAACGUCUGAUGCCCCACUGUAUCGUGCACCUCGGAAGCUGACAUCUCAAAUGCCAUCUUGAAAGCAUUGAAUUUGGGUUGGGAGGUGGGGUCAGGUGUCAUGCACCCCUUCCUGUGUGGAUCACGACCUGCAAGGGGAAAAUAAGAGCACUCAGCAGGUAGAUUGGUUGGAAAAUGCUCAUUAUUUUUAGGAAGGGGGG